UACGGGGGGGGCAAGCGUUGUUCGGAAUUACUGGGCGUAAAGGGCUCGUAGGUGGCCAACUAAGUCAGACGUGAAAUCCCUGGGCUCAACCCAGGAACUGCGUCCGAUACUGGUUGGCUUGAAUCCGGGAGAGGGAUGUGGAAUUCCAGGUGUAGCGGUGAAAUGCGUAGAUAUCUGGAGGAACACCGGUGGCGAAGGCGACAUCCUGGACCGGCAUUGACGCUGAGGCGCGAAAGCCAGGGGAGCAAACGGG
rnacentral:rRNA from 1 species